CUGCUUUCUGCAAGGUGGAAAGCUAGAAGUGACUGUGACCACCCACUGCCAUUAGCUCCUCUCAAAGGAGGAAUUAGUAGCAUCUCCGGGUGUUACAGAGUUCCUUGAACUUGGAACAGUUUGCAUAUAUGACUUCAAAAAGAGGCGCAGACCGGGGAGCUUGGUUCUGAAGGACUUCUCAGCUGUCUCAAAUGGGGGCCAGGUUACUUUGGAUACGCCCACAAGGACAUCUGCAGACCAUGGCAAAUGAGCUUCACCUGCACUUCAGGUUAACAGUGUGUCUCUGUAUGCUUAUGUGUCUAACAAAUCUCACCAGCACAAGGCAC